GUAACCUCAAUAAACUCACUGGUUCACUAAGCUCAACUUGAAUGGAAUCAUGUUUUAUUCUGUUGUUUGUUCCUUGUCUCUGGUUCUGAACAGUUUCAAAUUCUUGAUUUACGGGUUCAUUUUUGGAUCAUGGCAGCCUCCCUGCUGCAACCCCCAUAGUUUCCCUUCAAUAAACAAGGCCGGAUGAGAUCACAGCUGAGGAAGCCUGAUGGAGUACAGGUGCCUGAAGAGGCCAGAAGAGGGCAUCGGAUUCCCUGGAAUGAGAGUCACAGGCUAUUGUGAGCAACCUGAUGUGGAUCCCGGGUCACAAACUCAGGUCCUUUGUAAGAGCAGUCUGCACUCUUAGCUGCUGAGCCACCCAUACAGUUUUAUCAUAACUUUGGACACAUCAAAAUUCUCUGUGUUAUUGUGACUGUGUUGAAACUCUUCAAAGCUGUGCCAUCUAAAGAUACCUUGGCUAUCUUUGUUGUUUUCUAUAGCAUUUGCUGCUUUUAGUAGUUUUUUGAAUUUUUUUAAAAAAUAUAUUUGCUUAAUGAUUUUUGGACUUGGAGAUAUUUUAUUCUCAAACCUCUCUCAUCAUUUUAUAAUUUUAUGUCUAAUAGGUGUUCAGUUUUUCUCUUCUGAAGAAUUACCCUUUAACACAUGCUGCCAUGCAGUCAUCCGGGAUUUUCUAUUUCUUAUCUUAUUCUGAGACUUCUCUUUGCCACUCCUUCUUCAUCGUGUUCCUAGAACCAAAGUCCAACUUUUCCUUGAUUUUUCUCUCUCAUUAUGACUUUCCUUUAGUAGAGUCCUAGAGAAAUUAUACAAAAGACAUAAAUGUGAGUAAUUUAAUAUUUCAUGUGUCUGAACAUUUAAAAAGUUUUGUAUCUAAUAAAAAUGGACAGG
ensembl:lncRNA